rnacentral:piRNA from 1 species
UAGGUUAUUUCUCUACCUGUGAGAUGAGC